rnacentral:rRNA from 1 species
GAUGAACGCUGACGGCGUGCCUAAUACAUGCCAGUCGAGCGAACAGACGAGGAGCUUGCUCCUCUGACGUUAGCGGCGGACGGGUGAGUAACACGUGGAUAACCUACCUAUAAGACUGGGAUAACUUCGGGAAACCGGAGCUAAUACCGGAUAAUAUAUUGAACCGCAUGGUUCAAUAGUGAAAGACGGUUUUGCUGUCACUUAUAGAUGGAUCCGCGCCGCAUUAGCUAGUUGGUAAGGUAACGGCUUACCAAGGCGACGAUGCGUAGCCGACCUGAGAGGGUGAUCGGCCACACUGGAACUGAGACACGGUCCAGACUCCUACGGGAGGCAGCAGUAGGGAAUCUUCCGCAAUGGGCGAAAGCCUGACGGAGCAACGCCGCGUGAGUGAUGAAGGUCUUCGGAUCGUAAAACUCUGUUAUUAGGGAAGAACAAAUGUGUAAGUAACUAUGCACGUCUUGACGGUACCUAAUCAGAAAGCCACGGCUAACUACGUG